rnacentral:piRNA from 1 species
UGAGCCAGGUUUUGAAGAAGUGCGAGU